CGUGGCACGGCCGCCCGGCCUCGGCGGUGAUGGUGCUGCCGCCGCUGGCGAUGCUGUGGUUCGAACCCGCCUGACGCGC
rnacentral:tRNA from 1 species